GCGGAUGUGGCGGAAUUGGCAGACGCGCACGGUUCAGGUCCGUGUGGGUAACACCGUGCAGGUUCAAAUCCUGUUAUCCGCACCA
rnacentral:tRNA from 1 species